GUCGGGAGUUAGGAAAUGUAAGUGUGCUAAUAACGCAUUUACUUGACGAAGGCUCCAAAGGAAGCCACGGCUAACUCUGUGCCAGCAGCCGCGGUAAUACAGAGGUGGCAAGCGUUGUUCGGAAUUAUUGGGCGUAAAGAGCACGUAGGUGGGUUUGUAAGUCAGAUGUGAAAGCCUUCUGUUCAACGGAAGAAUUGCAUCUGAAACUGCGAGUCUUGAGUGUAGGAGGGGAGAGUGGAACUUCUGGU
rnacentral:rRNA from 1 species